GGGGGAUUAGCUCAGCUGGGAGAGCACCUGCCUUGCACGCAGGGGGUCAGCAGUUCGAUCCUGCUAUCCUCCACCA
rnacentral:tRNA from 1 species